UGAGGAAUAUUGGUCAAUGGACGCAAGUCUGAACCAGCCACGUCGCGUGAAGGAAGACGGCCCUACGGGGUGUAAACUUCUUUUGUAAGAGAAUAAAGUGAGUCACGCGUGACUUUUUGCAUGUACCUUACGAAUAAGGAUCGGCUAACUCCGUGCCAGCAGCCGCGGUAAUACGGAGGAUCCGAGCGUUAUGCGGAUUUAUUGGGUUUAAAGGGUGCGCAGGCGGGAGAUUAAGUCGGCGGUGAAAUUUUGCAGCUCAACUGUAAAAGUGCCUUCGAAACUGGUUUUCUUGAGUAUGGAUGAAGUAGGCGGAAUUUGUGGUGUAGCGGUGAAAUGCAUAGAUAUCACGAGGAACUCCGAUUGCGAAGGCAGCUUACCAAGCUAUUAUUGACGCUGAGGCACGAAAGCGUGGGGAUCGAACAGG
rnacentral:rRNA from 2 species